rnacentral:lncRNA from 1 species
UGCAAAGCUUUCUCAGUUUAACAGUGACCGGAGUAUCUCUGCUCUUUAGGACAGAGCUUUCUAUCUUAAGGUCCCAACAAGUGCUUUUUGGUGUCGGUGCUAGAGUUUCAUGUUUGCUGAGCAAGUGCUCUACCGCCGAGCUGCAUCUCCAAACCCACACAGGAAGCCUUGUAAAAAACUGAAAUGAAAGAAAAUACCAGAGCACAUUCAACAAGGAGAAAGAAAAACAAAAGUUGGCUACCACAUCUGGAAAGCUCCGGAUGGGAGAAACCAACAUUCUCACUACCAAGCCUCAGCACAGCUGGAAGGAAUUCGAAGGAGAAGUGUUGUCUCCUGGCCCUUCCCCUGACACUCCUGCGGUUGCAGACAGGUUGACUAUAGAAAAUCACAGCAGGUUGGAGCAUUCCAUUUCCUACUUUGCAAACAGGGAGUGGCCCAACACCUACUUCUGCAUCUCCGCCCAGACUCGGGGGUGGGGGAGGGUGUAAAGGACCUUAAGAGCGAGCGUAUUCCUUUUCCCUUAUGCAAAAAGACUGUUGACCACUCUACGUACAAAAUGUCCCCUGUCUGUCUGCCUUUUCCUCAGCAAUUGCUGAGCCAGUCAUUGGAAAGCGGCAAGGCAAAACACCCAUUACCAAGAUGUAGCUACCAAAGGACUGAGAUUUGGGAUCAGAAAUUCAAUACCUUUACCCCAGCCCUUGUGGACAACUUCCUCCUGUGGGACUGAGGACUCUAAGAGGUCACCAGAAAGUUAUAUAUGAGCUCCUCCAUUGCAUGGACUGUCUACCCCUCCUCAUCCCUGCCCGAGCGCCCUCUGCUCUCAGUGAGUUCUGCUCUUUGUUUCCCCUCAUCUUUUUCCCUGUCUGAAUCCAACCCACAGGGAUUAGCUCAGUUUUCUUAUCUUCUAGGAAGCCAAUCCACAAAGAACACUCAAAAUGCCUAAAAUCUCCUUAUGGCACUUAAAUGUUUAUGGGUAAUAAAAGGAAUCACUCCUCUCCUUGGUUACUUCUCAUCAGGCAUUUGGUCACAGAGAUGAAGAAAUGACUCUAACAGGGUAUUUGACCAUUAACUCCGCCAUACGGAGGAAGAAGAGAUUUGAUGUGGAUACCUCAGUCAGCUUUUCGUUGCCAUAACGAAUAACUUCACGGGCUUACUUAUGAAGGCAAGGAGGUUUAGUCCUUAUGUCUAAGGACUAAAUUUAGACAGUUUAUGUCUUGGAGAUCCAAGGUGUAGCCUCCCCCAGCCUUGAAAAAGCUGAUUCAGACCUUUGUUGCCACUGUGAAUGAGACCACCUGGGGUGGAGCCUUCCUACCUAGAUGGUUCUAUUGCUCUGUCACCUGCAAUGCUCUUCUCCAAGACACCACUACCCGCUGAGAGGCUGAACCUGUUUCCUGAGAUAUUCCUGUGAUAGCCGACAACCAGUGGACUUGGCGACCUAAUAAUGCUAACAGCUCUGGCAGACUAGUGCUAACAACUUGGCAACAAAGCAUCAAGAAGCCUGGUGUGGCAGGGGAUGGGCCUCCCCCCCUUUAUAAGCACAGACUCUUAGUAAACUUUGGGGCCUUGAUCAGAAA